rnacentral:lncRNA from 1 species
UUUAAGAUGUAAUCUCCACUUAUUCAUUUGGAGAAAAGAUCAAAACAGCAAAAACUAUCUAAAACUUAACCUAAAAAAUUUGCAACACUAUUCAUCUUCUUCCUUGGAAAUCAUAGCCACCCAUCUCUCUCUCCCUCUUUCUCUUUUCCACUUUCUUCAUAACACACACAAAAUCUCCAGCUCAAGCAAGAAUAUAUGCAUACCUAUGAUAAGGAGAUGGUUUCUUUCAUCUAAACUUGAGUUUCUAUUAUUUUGGUAAGCUUUCUUUGACUAAAAUCUAUUCUACAUCUUCCUCUCUCAUCUAAAAUCUUAAUGAUUUUUCAAUUUAAGGCUACAGAUAAGUUCUAAUGCAUUUAUUAAUGUUAUUCAUGUAUUUAAAUUUCAUUUUAAUAAGUCUAUGUAUUUAUUUUAGAUUUUUCUUUUUUACGUCCAAGAAUAAGGGAAAAGAGGUGGUUAAAGCAUAAUGUUUUGAGGUUUGUAUUUAUGAAACCUAUUUAGACAUUCAGAUAUUAAUCUUACUUGAUGAACUUUUUGAUGAUAUAAAACAUGAGUUUAAUUUAUAAAAAUUGAUGCUUGAUGAGUAUAUAAUAUGAUUUGUGCUUUAGAAUGAUUUUGUGUUCAUGAAAAUUUUAAGCCAUGACCGAACAAGGGAGCUGCUGACUCCCCUUGUUCAUGUGUAUAUUUUAUUUAUUUUUACUUGAUAUCUUGAUUAAUAUGUUGGAAUAAUAUUAUAUGUUGAUUAUUGAAUGAUUUGGUGAAGAUUUGGUGUGUAAUUUGUGCUACAGCGAGCCAUGCAUGCCAUUUAAAUUUAUGUUGUGUGCUAUUUUGAUUUGUGAUUUAUUAAUUGAUAUUGGUGAUUAAUGCUAUUUAUUUUGAUAUUUUUUUAAUUAAAAAAUUGAUUUAUGCCUUAAUUCUGCAAAUUGAACCACUUGUGGGCUAAUUGGAUAUUUUCCAAAUUGUAUAGACUGUUUUGAGACAUUUUCCAAGGAAUUGGCAAUAUUUUCCUAAGCUUGGAGGAGUUAUGAAAUAAAUUUGAUGAAAUAUUGAUUAAUUAAGGAUGAUUAAGGACCAAAUUAAGUAAUUAAUUGGGAAAUUACAUUAAGAAAAAAUUAUGAUUUUAUCCAUUAGUUUUGCUUAUAUUAACUAGCGUACCCUCAUAUUUCUAGAAAUAUACUAAAUAUUCCUGUAUUUUAACCCGUUAAACCAAGUUGCACUUUUGUCCAAAAAAAGACCCAUUUUUCUCAUUAAUUGAACUUAAAAUGACCUAAAUAACCUUUUUACAAUUAGAAAAAAGACACAAAACGAAAGAGGGGAGGGAAAGAUAGUGGCGGUUGGUGUCUUUACAGUUUCCUACUCAAAGAAUCCAUCUUGACAUUGAGGAAGAAUCGAUUUGAAGUUGCUUAUCUAUCGUUAAUGAUGUCUUUGAAGUGAUUUUUGAAUCGCAGUGUUGUUUUCAACUGAAAGUGAAGGAAGCUUUGGAACUCUUCAGUCACUCUAGUUUCGCACUCGAAAGCCCCAUACAUGUUCAUUUUCUAUCACAAAGUGUACCUGUGACGAUUUUUAGUUUUAUUUUGCAUGAAGCUAUGAUUUUCAUCUCUGUAAACUCUUUUUAUGUCAUUUUUUAUUGUUGUUGAAGUUUACGAUUUUGAGGUAAGGUUCUCUUAUUUUUGUUUAAAG